UGCCGAGCGAGCGGAGCGUAGCGAGAGAAAAGAAAAUAUCUCCUCUUUCUCCAUCCUCCCUGAAAAUAUCUCCUCUUUCUCCAUCCUCCCUCCUUAUCCGGCUCCUCUUCUCCAUGCCGUCGCCGUCGCCUCCUCUUCCCCGUCGCUCACAGCCGCCUCGCCCCCUCCGCCUUCACCACCUCCUCUCGUGGCUCCCGUGUCGGAGUUCAGUGCCAGGGGAAGAGGGAUCGACGAUGGCGCAACAGAGGAGAUGGAGUAGCGUGCUCCUGCCGCCGUCCGACCCCAUCCUUCCUCCGCUCCUCCCCGCCCCUGCCUCCGCCUUGCCGCAUCCUCUGCGCCGUCGUGCCAUCACACCAUCUCCACUUCUGCCCAGCGCCCCGCUGCAGCCGCCUGCUGGUCGUCCUAUUCUAUAUGGAGCUGCACAUCGGCUUCGGCAUCGUCGCCGGCAGCGACUUCAUUCACCGCCUCCUCUAUAUUCAGUCCCUCUCAGACAAACCCAUCCAUGAGACAUCCAUAGCAAACUGAAACUCAAUUUCAUCGCAUUAGUCAAAGCAUGCCAUCACGUAUUCUUUGCUGUUGUCACUGGAAUCCUUUACAACCCGACAUUAUCACUGGAAUUCUUUACAACCUGACAUUAUCGGGUUUCUUAAUUUUCUCCAUUGGACACUCUCCUAUCUGAAAUAUUAGUCUUGCCUAUUUAAUGGUGGUUCACAUGCAGGUUCAGAGAGUAGCUCACUUGGAUAUGAGCAUAUGUGCAAUCUUGAGUGGUCUCAAGACGAGAUGAAUUAAACAAUGUUGACAUGCUGGUUGUGCUAGGAUGAUUUUGUCAUGUUUCAUGCUUCAAGAAAAGCAGGCUGGUCUUACAUCUAUUUGGAAUAUUUAGAUGGCCAAGGUCAAAGAGUAUCAAGGUGCUUCUAACUGAUCUCACUCUUAUUAUUUGUGGCUGCCAAUUUCCGUGUUUCAAAGGGAAAAAAUGCACUGCUGCUUCAUGUGUAUGUUGGUUUAAAUAUGAUACAAUAGUUUGCGCAUUGUGUAUCCUAUAUGCCCAAUGGUUUCCUGAUCUAGGGCUUAUAUUGUGUACUAAAAUAAUCCUAUUUUCUUUGAAAGGUGGGUUUUUAUUGGAAAUACGUCAAACCUUUACUUUUUGAUUUUUGUUUCUUUCAGUUUCAUUUUAUGCCACUUUCAGGUUAAAAGUGGAAAAUAUACAUGGUUCUCAAUGUUUUAUGCUUUGGUUAUUUGGAGUUACCCUCAAACUAAUGCCAGCCUCCAUUUGUCCAAUCAAAGUAAACCUAUGUGCAUGUCUACUAUAUUGUGCGCGAGUAAGCAAAAUUUUAUAUUGGCAUGUGGAACUGUUACUUGGUCCAUGUUUAGCACUUGGCAGAUGAACCUGGAAUGUGAACCAUGCAUAAAUAGCAAGGUAUGAUGAUUAGUAAAUUGUGUUAAUACUCGGUACUUUUCUUCCAACUAAAGUAUAGCUCCAGUUCAGAUGUUAGUUACAUUAUGUCUACUUGAAUUUAGUGCAUUUUUUUGGUUCCCUCUUUCUGUGUUGAAAAUAUGUAAAUUGAUGCAUCAUGUGUAGCUUGUCACUCUGUUUCUACUUGGCAAGGUCUGCAAUAGAUUAUAUAUGCAUUACAUGGUCUGCUUCUUUUGCCUGCGUCAACAUAUGUAUGUUGUUCGUAUUGUCUUUUCAUGCUUAUUUUUUCAGGGAUCCCUCACCCUCUUAAUUCAUUCGUAUUCUUUCCUUCUUAGUUGCAGUGUUGCAAGGUAUACCCUGCCUUGGAGAAGGGCAUUCUGUGGGCUGCUUCUACAGGUUACAUAUAGUUUUCCCACUGCUUCUCCUAAUUAUGCACAAUGCCAAAACCAGACAGAAAAGAGUGGGCACUAUUAGUUUUACUUUCUUAUCUGCUAUCAUAUUUUAUUCUUUACAGAGUAUCAAAUCUGAGAUCAAUCCAGUUUUGAGUUAGGUUACCUAAAGACUCCAUGCACCUCUUCGUCACAUGUCCACUGAUCAAUGUUCUGUAAUAACCCUCCGGGCCCUUAUUUCUUAUUUGGAUCUUUUGUCACACCGUCUCAUGGAGACAAGUGGCAAGGAGGACGUCUUCUCGUGGCGUUCCUACCUCUGGGGGAGAUCCCCCCCACCCCCGGGUGAUUCUCAAAAAAAGGUCCAGUUUUGAGUUUUGACACCCAUUAAUGAUGCAUUCAUGUUAUGAGUUACAAAAUACUAAAUCUAAAAUGACAUGAUUUUAGAAAGUUGGGUGGGUUGAAAGAACCAAACUGUUUCAAGUUACACGUCUUCUCUGUCGUGGGCUAAAAGCUAUAUAUGUUUGCCUCGAUGAAUUUUCGAAAGAAAAUACAGUAUGCCUUUAUUUACCAUGGAUUGACGGAGUUCACGUGUGUUUUCAUUGGUUUUUUAAAUGAUUUCUUAAGCGGCCUUCUAUGAUUUCCCACUAUGAUUUAUUUGGGCAUGAGGGUGGCUCUUUUGAGUGAAUGUUUGGAAUAAGCAGUAAGUUGAAAGGUGCCGGAAAUAACUCUAUCCUGGCAAGAUGUGAGUCUCCGUUGUCCAGUCACUAUACACCAAUGAGGUGGUGUUGGAAACUAUGAAAUUGGCUUUCUCUUAAUUUUCUUAUUAUAGAUGUGUAUUUAAUUUGGAUCCCCGAUGAUGUCUAUAUCUAAUAUGUAUAUCUAGAAGUAGUGUUUUUUUGUGUGUAUUAUGAUCCCUCGUUAGAACAAAAAUAGUAUACAUUUACUAUUUUGGACCAUAAUUCAUUGAGUGAAAUUGCAAGCAUUUGCAACUUUUCACCAGUUAUAAUUUCAAA